rnacentral:rRNA from 1 species
GCACUGGAAGGUCCCUAAACCGAAAGGGGCUCUGCCCGCCCGAGGAUGGGCCGGCGGCCGAUUAGGUAGUUGGUGGGGUAACGGCCCACCAAGCCCAUAAUCGGUACGGGCAGUGAGAGCUGGAGCCCGGAGAUGGACACUGAGACACGGGUCCAGGCCCUACGGGGCGCAGCAGGCGCGAAACCUCCGCAAUGCUCGAAAGAGCGACGGGGGGACCCCAAGUGCCGUGGUACAACCACGGCUUUUCCGGAGUGUAAGAAGCUCCGGGAAUAAGGGCUGGGCAAGGCCGGUGGCAGCCGCCGCGGUAAUACCGGCGGCCCGAGUGGUGGCCACUAUUAUUGGGCCUAAAGCGUCCGUAGCCGGGCUUGUAAGUCCCUGGCGAAAUCCCACGGCUCAACCGUGGGGCUUGCUGGGGAUACUGCAAGCCUUGGGACCGGGAGAGGCCGGGGGUACUCCUGGGGUAGGGGUGAAAUCCUAUAAUCCCAGGAGGACCGCCAGUGGCGAAGGCGCCCGGCUGGAACGGGUCCGACGGUGAGGGACGAAGGCCAGGGGAGCAAACCGGAUUAGAUACCCGGGUAGUCCUGGCUGUAAAGGAUGCGGGCUAGGUGUUGCUUGGACCUCGAGUCCAAGCAGUGCCGCAGGGAAGCCGU